ensembl:lncRNA
UUCGGCUUCACCCCCCUUCAACCCGAGCCCCACGAGGUGCCCUGGGGGCUGAGCGGCCUGGAGAGGGCCCAGCAGCAGCAGAACGAGCCCAGGUUCAUCCCGUCCCCUCCCAGCCUGGCCCUGCAGGAGGAGCUCAAAGUGUCCACCAAAGCCGUGACCCUCAGCAACCACCUGGGCAGGGCCAGGAUGGAGGAGAGCAAUCGCCUGGAGGGCAAACACGGCCAGGCUUCAGCUCCUUUGGGAUUUUCUGCAGAGACAGGCAAGGACAGAGCGCCCGAGGAUGGCAGGAAGGAGGAGAAGAAAGCCAAAGGAGGCUUUUUCCACCACGGGGGAAGCCGCGGCGAGGCCGGGGGAAAAGGCCAGGGGGACGGAGGGAGCCCCGCGCACGAUGAGAGGAGUAAGAGCAGCGGCUGGUUUGGCUCCAAGGAGCCCAAAGAGUCCCCUCAGAAACCCAGUUUCCCGCCUGGGCCGCGUGCUGCGCCAGAGGUCGCUGGGAGCUUUUAUUCCUCUGAGGAUUGCGGUCCCUCUGCCUCCCCAAGGCAGGCAGAGCCCGGGAGGGAUUCUCCAGCCCAAAGUGUUGGUGUCCCCGUGCCAGAAACCAGUCCCCCAGCGCCGGGAGAGCUCCCUCCUGCCGACACCAACGCCGAGCCCGCCGUCCCCCCGCCGCCCUCGGAGUGGGACGACACCUUCGAUGCCUUUGCCACCAGCAGGCUCAAACCCGAGAGGAAGAAGGAGAACUCGUUUGCCUCGGUGGCAGCAGAGGGCAUGGCUUUCAUUGACGACCCCGACAGAGGCAGCCCCACGGAGAGCUCAGCCGAGCCGCCCCUCCAGAAGGGGUUUGAAAAGGCCGAGUCGCCCAUCAGGGCUGAAAUCCCCGCAGCUCUCCGCUCUUGGACGAAUUUCUCCGCUUUAGACGUGGGGGCCAACCUGGUGAGCACCACCCAGGAGGCCACGGUGAUCGAGGAUGUGCUGAGCCCCGUGUCGGCGGGCUCCAUGGCCGGGAGGAGGAAAAGCAGCACGCCCACGGUGUGGACAGCCGCGUUCRCCUCGGGCAGCGCCGGGGACAAAGAGGCGUCGACAGCACUGAGCACUGACAGUAGGGCUGGGGAGGAAGGGGACAGUGCUGAGGAGGACUCCUGCGGUGCAGGGACAAACGGUUGGAUGACCAUAGCUACAGAAACAGCUGCUGACCCCUCUGAGAGCACCCCGAGUGCAGCUGAGGAACACGAGGGCACCUUCGGCCCAAGAGUGCCUUUCCUGGCUGAGGGCACCUUCGAAGCCCAGGGCUCGUCCCGUGCCUCCACCCGUGUGUUACCCAGGAGCUCCUUCCCCCCCGAGGCGCCCCCCGAGGCCCUGCCCGGUGGCACCGUGGUGGCUGUUCCCCCCCGGGUGGCACCGCGGAGGUUCCCCGAGGUGAGCACCGAGCCUGGGGGCGGCCAGGAGGGCACCGUGGACAUCCGCAGCUCCGUGUACAGGCUGCAGGCCAGCAUGAGGCUCCAGGCCAGCUCUGACGGCCUCCUGAGGCUCAGCUCUGACAUCCGUGAGAGGCACGUAGUGCUGUCCCCAUGGGCAGGGCCCCAAGGCCACCAGGAGCCCGUGGCCGGCCCGCCGGUGCCACCACCCAAACCCCCCAGGUGGUUUGCAUCUGCAGGUGCCGUGGGGGACAGCGAGGAGGGGGAGCCUGGUGGCCCCCAGAGAGGCAAACARGAGGACUCAGAGGGCCCAAGAGCAGAGAUGGAAUUGCCAAGGAGCCGUGGGAGCAGCGAGCCCUCGGUGCCAGCACCUCCCAGCCUGCCCACACCGAGAGCGGGUGCCACUGAAGCCAGGAGUGAGUUCCCAGCACCCGAGGGUGCCAGAGCUGCCACUGUGGACUCAACAGCUGCCUUGGGGACAGGGGACACCUCUGURGGAGAACUGCCAGCAGAGAUGAACCAGACAGAUGUGGCCGAGCAGUUUGAGACUUGCACAUCCAAUUUCUCCCUGGAUGGACUGGAGCAGUCGGGUGCUGAGGAGAGCUGGAGCCAGCCCCGUUUAUCCCCUCAGAUUCAGGGCCACACAGACAGUGCCAAGUGGGAAACGGCCUCCAAACAGGAGCUGUUCCCCGAGGAGCUCAGUAUUUCAGGACUAAASCCACCUUCCCAGCUAGACCUGGGCCAGCCGGGCAGCUGGGCGGCUCUGGAGGAGCAGGAGGCAGCUGGGCAUCCACACGCACAGCCCCAAAGGUCAGAAGGUGGGGAGAGCCCAUCCCAGGAUGGCGAGGGGCGAGCAGGAGAGCAGCCCGAGCCCUGUGCCCCUCCCGAGGAGGCAGAGCAGGGCAGGGCCCCCAGCAGCGGGGAGCCCCAGGGGCACUCGGCAGAGAGCAGGAUAGACUUCAAGAAAGCCGAUUUUUGGAAGCCAGAUAGGGCAGAGGAGAGGCACACAGCCCUGAGGAAUCCCUUCACCCUAUCGCUGAGCCCCAAUUCCCCCAGCAAUCCCUUCGUGGAGAAGCCCCCAGCCCCUCUCCCYGUCCAAGCUGUGCUGCCCGAAAAGCUUGAGCGGGGCCACUUCAGCUUCCUCAGCCUGCAAGAGGAGGAAGAGGAAGAAACCCCCGGGCACGGCUUGCAGCCCACUAACGCUACCCCCCUGCAUGCCAGCCAGCCCCUGGCCUUCUCCACCCCUUUCCUGGUGGCUGCCACUAACCCCGAGCCGUGUGCGCUCCCCCGGAGCCCC